CUCUUAUCAAGAGUUGGCUGAGGGAAUUGGCCCAAUGAAGCCCAGCAACCGACCGUAAUACUAUCGUGAGAUAGGGCGCAGAAAAGCGCCGGAAGGAAUCUUCCGCAAGGCACGGUGCUAAGUCCAACAGAGAGAGUCAUUCUUUCUGAAAGAUAAGAG
rfam:Bacillus smithii strain DSM 4216, complete genome.